rnacentral:lncRNA from 1 species
UUUUUGCCAGACAUCCAAGAUACAUUUCAGUUUGAGACCUCUCUGCUCUCUCGCUAGAUGGAUGUCCUGAGGCAGAAGGGUGCUAUCCUCUGGCUUUCUCACAUCAGGAAUGUCCACUUCAGAACUAGGAGAAGAGAGGCAACAGGAACAAACAUGGAUAGGAAAUGAAAUGUCUCAAAUUCUGUGAGAAAAUUAACAACAUGCAAGGUCUCACAGGUGCCACUGAACUACAUCUGUGCACUUCUUUUGCAGAAGAGGUCGUAUUUACAAGGAGCCAUCUCGUGAGGAUUUAUCAAUAAUUAAGCGUGACAGGGCACUGCAUAAAAACACCUGAGAAUGGAUGCAAACAAUGUACUGGGGAGAGCGACAAUAAAACAGG